AUUUAUGGCGGGCUGUGCGGGGCACCCUUCGGGGUGGCCGGUUGCCUUUUGGGCCGGUUUCUGACCCCCGUGCAGUCCGUCGCCACU
rnacentral:antisense_RNA from 1 species